rnacentral:rRNA from 1 species
UACGUCGGUGGCAAGCGUUAUCCGGAUUUACUGGGUGUAAAGGGCGUGUAGGCGGGGAAGCAAGUCAGAUGUGAAAACCACGGGCUCAACCUGUGGCCUGCAUUUGAAACUGUUUUUCUUGAGUGCUGGAGAGGCAAUCGGAAUUCCGUGUGUAGCGGUGAAAUGCGUAGAUAUACGGAGGAACACCAGUGGCGAAGGCGGAUUGCUGGACAGUAACUGACGCUGAGGCGCGAAAGCGUGGGGAGUAAACAGG